CAGCUGAGUGUUUGAAACUCGUCAGUUGAUCAGCCAUGGACAAAAAUCUCCUGCUGCUCCUGUUUUGUCUGCAGGCUUUCCUGCUCAUCACAGCCUUCUCUUCUACUGAUGCAGCCGCUCUGGUAAAAGAUGAUCAACCUCAACUGCUUCCUGAUCUGGAAGGAACUUCUAGAUAUUGGUCUGCUUGUUGGACAAGACCAGGAGGAUGCGGCCCGUUUUACACUUGGAAUGAAAUGUUGACAUCUCAAUGUGCUCACUGUAAUCACUAAAAAGGGAGAUAACUGUUUUUGUGUUGGUUCCUUGUUCUCUUUCUCUUUCCUACUGUUUAGCCCUCUGUUUCUCCUGAUAAACCAGAUUUCAAGGCAUAAAAAACGUGCAAAUAUGAUGAAAACAGCAAUUUUCACGGGCGCACUCGAACAACGGAAGUUCAAAACAAGCUUUUCCAGAACUGCCAUGCUCUGUUUAUGAGUGGAAAAUAAUAUUCUGUAUGUUGUAGUGCUUAUUAAAUGUGCAAUAAUUCAGUAAAGUCACAGCACAAAUUGUAUAUUUACAAAAUAAAAGCUUUCAAAUGGA